GAGUGACGGCAGAAGCGACUGAAUCAGCUGCUGUUCUUAGGGCAGAGUUCUACUGUACCCCGGGAUCAACGUUUAUUCUUGGUUGUAACGUCUGUAGAUGUGGUAGCGAUGGUAUCAACUAUCUGUGCUCAAUGAUACCGCAAUGUUAGUGAUGCCUAAUACGCUGGACUGGAAGAUGCAGUAAAGAAGGCAGCGGAAACAUCGCCAUGACUUGCUUUGUGGACACACUGGACCAUAAUCUGCGCUGUACGUCGCGCUGUCCUUAUGAUGUCUUAACGUACUGUUGUU